rnacentral:lncRNA from 1 species
CUUCUACCUGGGGGCUUCAGUGCAUCUGGCUUUAUCUCUGGGGUGCUUCCAUACAAAGGGGACAGAAGAGACGAUGGAAGGCCUCAGUACUGCAGGAGGGGAGACGGAUGUCAUCUACAAUCACACAAUACAUGGGAGGUCACAGGGUCUCGGGCCGGGUGCAGUGGCUCACGCCUCUAAUCUCAGCACUUUGGGAGGCUGAGAACGCCAGGGUGACGUAACAAUUCAAACCAUGAAAAGGUAACAGCCCUUCGCGCGUCUCAACACGUGGUGACACAGCUAAUAACCUGUGAUGCAUACAUGGGAACAAAUGCAUAGAAAAACUUGUCAAUGACACGGCAAAGUAAAACCCAAAUGAAGCAAGGUGAAAGAAUGGGCUGCAGCGCAGGCAAAACUGCACCACGUUACAGACUGCUCGCCUGGGAUGGAACGGUGGGGAGGUGCGCAGACGGAUGGAUAAGCGCCUGGCAAACUGGAUUUCUUUUCCUAGACUGCUAAUGCUACUAACAGUUCCCUCCUCACAGGGUCGCUAUAAUGAGGUAACAUACAGCACUUAGAAGACGGCCUGACCCAGAAUAACACUAAUGUUCACAUGGCUGCGACUCUCAGACCAAAAUCAAUAGCCGGUAUCUACUGAAACUGCAGCAAGGCGAAACCAC